rnacentral:rRNA from 1 species
GACAGAGGGUGCAAACGUUGUUCGGAAUUACUGGGCGUAAAGCGCGUGUAGGCUGCUUCGCAAGUCGGGUGUGAAAGCCCUGGGCUCAACCUAGGAAGUGCACUCGAAACUGCGAAGCUGGAGUCCUGGAGAGGAAGGCGGAAUUCCCGGUGUAGCGGUGAAAUGCGUAGAGAUCGGGAGGAACACCAGUGGCGAAGGCGGCUACCUGGACCAGCACUGACACUGAGGCACGAAAGCGUGGGGAGCAAACAGG